rnacentral:rRNA from 1 species
GUACACUCCUGCGGGAGGCAGCAGUGGGGAAUAUUGCACAAUGGGCGCAAGCCUGAUGCAGCCAUGCCGCGUGUAUGAAGAAGGCCUUCGGGUUGUAAAGUACUUUCAGCGGGGAGGAAGGCGAUAAGGUUAAUAACCUUGUCGAUUGACGUUACCCGCAGAAGAAGCACCGGCUAACUCCGUGCCAGCAGCCGCGGUAAUACGGAGGGUGCAAGCGUUAAUCGGAAUUACUGGGCGUAAAGCGCACGCAGGCGGUCUGUCAAGUCGGAUGUGAAAUCCCCGGGCUCAACCUGGGAACUGCAUUCGAAACUGGCAGGCUAGAGUCUGGUAGAGGGGGGUAGAAUUCCAGGUGUAGCGGUGAAAUGCGUAGAGAUCUGGAGGAAUACCGGUGGCGAAGGCGGCCCCCUGGACAAAGACUGACGCUCAGGUGCGAAAGCGUGGGGAGCAAACGGGAUUAGAUACCCGUGUAGUCC